rnacentral:lncRNA from 1 species
CCUCUUCCUUCCCUCCCUCUUGACCUUCCUCUCUCCCUCCCUUCUUUCCUUCCUUCCUGUGGCUCUCCUUUGUGAGUGACCUACCUCCGCUUCCUACUCUGUGACUUUGCACAUUCAAUCAUUGCCUGGCUCCACCAGCAGUAUAUAAGGUGAAAGAGGAUCCUGCCAGCUGUUCUAGGCCCAGAGGACACCUCUCUCUCUCUCUCUGUCACUCACACACACACACACACACACACACACUCUCUCUCUCUCUCUCACACACACCCACUUAUUGAUGGGGUAAUAGGAUCAAGAGGUAGCUUUGCAUCAUCAAAAAGAAGUCAGUCAUUCUAGCCUGGAGCUUUAGAAGACGAAGUAAAAAAGAAGUCAGACAGUCCUAGCUUUGAAUCCUGGCCCAGCCACUUACUAGGUGGGAGACCUUGGAUGAGGAAACUGAGGCUGAAACAGGCAAUUAAUUUGUGCAGGUGGCACGUUUACUACAUGGUGGAACCAGGAUCUGAACUCAAAUUUGUCUGUGAAUGUUUUCAGAAUAUUCACCUACAUGUUGCCCAAAGUCAAGGCUGCCCUGGGGCAGUGUGUAUACCUGAAUGACAAUCAGUACAGGCACUGAGGGAAGGGAGAACCGAUGCUGGAGAGGCAAGCAUAACUGCCACUGUUAACUUUGUGACCAAACUUCAUGUCUUGUGGCCUAAAGGACAAUCGUAUCCCUUCUGGGGGAAUUUCCCCACCUCCAUGUUGAAGCCAAGGAUGACUAGUACUCCAUGGAAAAGAGGUCAACAUGAUAACCAGGAGAUGUGGUCAUGGGGCAUUAAAAGGUUCGAAGCUGUUCCAGAAAGGAUGUCAUUGAUGUGGAAUACAGGAACUGUGGAUGCCUCCUGAAUGGGAGCUGCAAACGAUUAUCAGAGUCAAGCAAGAGGAAUGGCAAGGCAUGUGCUGAAUAACAUCACAUUAAUAUGGCUCUUAGCUACCUAACCCAUUAGGAGCCAUAAUUAGGAGAGUUUGAAACAGACUGCAAGCAUCUUCUCCAGAAAGAAGCUAGGAGCGAGUCCAGCGGAUUCGUGGAAAUGGAUGGAGGCUGCUGAGUUGAGAGACUGAGAAGUGGAGGUACCUAGGAAGGUCCUCCCUGAAAAUACAUCGGGUUGUAAAACCUGGAAAGAAAUACCUCCAUUUGUCAGGCACUCACAGGGCGCUCUCCUCUGGCAGCUCCCAUGUUGAGCGCCCAGGGCAGCGACCAGACGGCGUCCUGUCCUCCUGCACGGGGCCAGAACUGGAUGGUCCCGCGACACAUCGUGUCUGCAGCUUUAGAGGCCUCCCCAGGAGUGCUACCGCGGUCAUUUCUGCCCAGCUGUAAAAUAACACCCAAUCAGCGAGCCGCCAGCUGCAAACUGUUCCGACCUACUCCUCCCUCCCCGGCUUAAUUCCCACCUAUACCAAAGUGGCCCCACGCGGGCAGAAGCGAAAGACGGAAAUGAGGGGAGGCCAACUACUCGAGAUCUGCGCCCGAAGCAGAUUUUCCACGCGCUCAGAGUAGGGUCGGGGAAAGGCCCACUUGGGGCUUCUGAGAGAGAGGGAAGGGCAGGGAAAGGGCUGCCCCCCAGCAAGACACAGUUGGGUGAACAACUGAGUCUUUGCCUCGUUGACAAAGGAGAAUGAGGGACUCGCGCCAGGCUGGCUUGAACUGACUGGAGAAAAGCGACUUCUGUAAUUCAGGGCCCUCCUCGUGCGAAGGAAACUUUGGCAAAGCAGAAAGACAGGCAUGCAGUUUCCAGGCGGAAAAACGUGAACCAUGGGACAUGAUGGGCUCCAGGGCCGUGGAUGCAGUUGCCCGAGGCCCCAGGGCCGCCCCCGGAAGGCCGGGACUGCCAGGGACUCGGCGUGGGGGUGCUGACUGCCGCUCCAGGCCUCGGGGUUCAAGCACUCCAGCAGCAUCCGCUCACCACGCUCCCCGCCCACUUCCAUGAUCACGAGGGGGCAAGGCUAGCCAAUCCGGGGUGGCCACUGCCCGGCCCUGCGAGGACUCGAGGCGCACUGGGAAACUGCGCGGUGCCUAGAGACUCUGGUGCUUCCCCGAGUGGCCCCCUGUGGUGUGGCAUGUCCGCUUCUCUUGGCAUCUAUCCCACAAAUUAGUGAGAACAUGCAACUCUUGUCUUUCGGUGCCUGGCUUAUUUCACCUGACAUAAUGAUCUCCAGUUCCAUCCAUGUUGUUGCAAAUGACAAGAUCUUCUUUUUCGUGGCUGAAUAGUACUUCCAUUGUGU